rnacentral:rRNA from 1 species
AGUGGAUGGGGAGCAACCUAGUUGUGCGUGUGUAAAGGUAGUGCCAAGAAAAGCGAUGAUCAUGUUGAAAAUCAAUUCCCGGUACCCGAAACCGACACAGGUGGGCAAGUAGAGAAUACUAAGGGGCGCGAGGUAACUCUCUCCAAGGAACUCGGCAAAAUGACCCCGUAACUUAGGGAGAAGGGGUGCCACCGAGAGGUGGUCGCAGUGAAGAGGCCCAGGCGACUGUUUAGCAAAAACAUAGGUCUCUGCAAACUCGAAAGAGGAGGUAUAGGGGCUGACGCCUGCCCAGUGCCGGAAGGUUAAAGAAGUUGGUCAGUCUUAGGAUGAAGCUAGCGACUGAAGCCCCGGUGAACGGCGGCCGUAACUAUAACGGUCCUAAGGUAGCGAAAUUCCUUGUCGGGUAAGUUCCGACCCGCACGAAAGGCGUAACGAUCUGGGCGCUGUCUCGGAGAGAGGCUCGGCGAAAUAGGAUUGUCUGUGAAGAUACGGACUACCUGCAUUUGGACAGAAAGACCCUAUGAAGCUUUACUAUAGCUUGGAAUUGUGUUCGGGCUUCCUGUGCGCAGGAUAGGUGGGAGGCGUAGAAGGUAUUCUUGUGGGGAUACUGGAGCCAACGGUGAGAUACCACUCUCAGGAGGCUAGAAUUCUAACUUAAUUAAGGACAGUUUCAGGUGGGUAGUUUGACUGGGGCGGUCGCCUCCAAAAAGGUAACGGAGGCGUACAAAGGUUCCCUCAGACUGGUUGGAAAUCAGUCGAAGAGUGCAAAGGCAGAAGGGAGCUUGACUGCGAGAAGUACAGUUCGAGCAGGGUGGAAACACGGUCUUAGUGAUCCGACGGUGCUGUGUGGAAGGGCCGUCGCUCAACGGAUAAAAGUUACUCUAGGAUAACAGGCUGAUCUCCCCCAAGAGUUCACAUCGACGGGGAGGUUUGGCACCUCGAUGUCGGCUCAUCGCAACCUGGGGCGGAAGUACGUCCUAAGGGUUGGGCUGUUCGCCCAUUAAAGCGGUACGUGAGCUGGGUUCAGAACGUCGUGAGACAGUUCGGUCCAUAUCCGAUGUAGGCGUGAGAAUAUUGAGAGGAGCCUUCCUUAGUACGAGAGGACCGGGAAGGACGCACCGCUGGUGUACCUGUUAUGAUGCCAAUUGUAAACGCAGGGUAGCCAAGUGCGGAGAGGAUAACCGCUGAAAGCAUCUAAGUGGGAAGCCCACCUCAAGAUGAGUAUUCUGGUGUAAGGUCACGGGAAGACGACCCGUAAAUAGGCACGAGGUGGAAGUGCAGAGAUGUAUGAAGCCGAAGUGUACUAAUAGACCGUCGGCUUGACC